UCUUGUUUAUUGUUGUUGUUAUUGAGUUUCAGAAUUGUAUGUAUGUUUGUGGUUGGUUUUGGUUGUUGUUGUUGAUUUACUUACCUUACAUAUAACCCUUGUAGAAUUAUUAAUGGUUUCGAUCACAUUACUCAGUUGCUCUACACAGGAAGGAUCGAAGGGGACAGCGUAAUUGGGAGAUUCGGCAUUCGGACCAUGUACACGAGUGGAGUCGACGAGAGGCAUUAGUCGUCCAGGGAUACCCGUUCACUGGGACUUCUUCCCCGGCCAUGACAGAGUACAUGGCUUGGUACCGUCGCAUCACGAGACUGGUCAUUACUCCACCUUCGCAGGAGCGCCUCCCGAGUCAUUACCAGCCAGCUACCUCUGACCUCCUGCUUGCACAUGCAUUUGCUGAUUUGCACGUCCAGCUAUCGGGAGCUACUGAGACCAUCUCCCACUUGCCACCAGAGACGGCUAUACCAUUUUCCAUAUAGACGAUGCAGGGUUUUACAUCAUUUUGUGGCCAAACCUUGUCUAGGGUGGGGCAGUCACACCUUAUUCAGCAGCCUCGACCGUCCACGUCUUCAUCUUCUACUGUGCACACUAUGCCGAUCAGACCACCACCUCAUCGUGGAGGCCAUUCAGCACGUGCCUUCCGUCCACCGACUCCUUCUCAGCAUACUAUCAUGACAUCUCCUCCACUAGUGCAUCGCCAGUAUCAGAGAAACCGACGGCGUAGCAACACUACAUCUGGGGUUGGAGUUGGCCUGGAUGACAUUCCAGAGGAGACAGCUGCAUCAUCUUCAUCGUCACCUCAUGGGAAGAAGCAACGCCCGAGCUAAGUGUAUAUUUUGGAACUAAACUAAUUUUUUUGUAAAUGCUUAGAAUUGGAUUUUGUUAUAUUUAAUCAAUUGAAAAAUAUUCGACUUUGCAA